rnacentral:rRNA from 1 species
UGGGGAAUAUUGCACAAUGGGGAAAACCCUGAUGCAGCGACGCCGCGUGAACGAAGAAGGUAUUCGUAUCGUAAAGUUCUGUCCUAUGGGAAGAUAAUGACAGUACCAUAGAAGAAAGCUCCGGCUAAAUACGUGCCAGCAGCCGCGGUAAUACGUAUGGAGCGAGCGUUGUCCGGAAUUAUUGGGCGUAAAGGGUACGCAGGCGGUUUAAUAAGUCGAAUGUUAAAGAUCGGGGCUCAACCCCGUAAAGCAUUGGAAACUGAUAAACUUGAGUAGUGGAGAGGAAAGUGGAAUUCCUAGUGUAGUGGUGAAAUACGUAGAUAUUAGGAGGAAUACCAGUAGCGAAGGCGACUUUCUGGAAACAAACUGACGCUGAGGUACGAAAGCGUGGGGAGCAAACAGG